CCAAUAGCGUAUAUUAAAGUUGUUGCAGUUAAAAAGCUCGUAGUUGAAUUUCGGGAUCAAUACACUGGUCGUGCCUCCGGUAUGUACUGGCGUUAUUGAUUCCUCUCUUCUGAUGAACCAUGAUGUCAUUAAUUUGGUGUUGUGGGGAGUCAGGACUGUUACUUUGAAAAAAUUAGAGUGUUUAAAGCGGGCUAAUGCUUGAAUACAUUAGCAUGGAAUAAUGAAAUAGUACGUUCGAACCUAUUUUGUUGGUUUCUAGGAUCAACGUAAUGAUUAAUAGGGAUAGUUGGGGGCAUUAGUAUUCAAUUGUCAGAGGUGAAAUUCUUGGAUUUAUUGAAGACUAACUACUGCGAAAGCAUUUGCCAAGGAUGUUUUCAUUAAUCAAGAACGAAAGUUAGGGGAUCGAAGACGAUCAGAUACCGUCGUAGUCUUAACCAUAAACUAUGCCGACUAGGGAUCGGAUGAUGUUAAUUUUUUAAUGACUCAUUCGGCGCCUUACG
rnacentral:rRNA from 1 species